rnacentral:rRNA from 1 species
AGUGAACGCUGGCGGUAGGCCUAACACAUGCAAGUCGAACGGCCGCACAGUAAGAGCUUGCUCUUACGGGUGGCGAGUGGCGGACGGGUGAGGAAUACAUCGGAAUCUACUUUUUCGUGGGGGAUAACGUAGGGAAACUUACGCUAAUACCGCAUACGUCCUACGGGUGAAAGCAGGGGAUCUUCGGACCUUGCGCGAUUGAAUGAGCCGAUGUCGGAUUAGCUAGUUGGCGGGGUAAAGGCCCACCAAGGCGACGAUCCGUAGCUGGUCUGAGAGGAUGAUCAGCCACACUGGAACUGAGACACGGUCCAGACUCCUACGGGAGGCAGCAGUGGGGAAUAUUGGACAAUGGGCGAAAGCCUGAUCCAGCCAUGCCGCGUGGGUGAAGAAGGCCUUCGGGUUGUAAAGCCCUUUUGUUGGGAAAGAAAAGCAGCAGGUUAAUACCCCGCUGUUCUGACGGUACCCAAAGAAUAAGCACCGGCUAACUUCGUG